AGUGAACGCUGGCGGUAGGCCUAACACAUGCGAGUCGAACGGCAGCACAGUAAGAGCUUGCUCUUACGGGUGGCGAGUGGCGGACGGGUGAGGAAUACAUCGGAAUCUACUUUUUCGUGGGGGAUAACGUAGGGAAACUUACGCUAAUACCGCAUACGACCUACGGGUGAAAGCAGGGGAUCUUCGGACCUUGCGCGAUUGAAUGAGCCGAUGUCGGAUUAGCUAGUUGGCGGGGUAAAGGCCCACCAAGGCGACGAUCCGUAGCUGGUCUGAGAGGAUGAUCAGCCACACUGGAACUGAGACACGGUCCAGACUCCUACGGGAGGCAGCAGUGGGGAAUAUUGGACAAUGGGCGAAAGCCUGAUCCAGCCAUACCGCGUGGGUGAAGAAGGCCUUCGGGUUGUAAAGCCCUUUUGUUGGGAAAGAAAAGCAGCAGGUUAAGACCCCGCUGUUCGGACGGUACCCAAAGAAUAAGCACCGGCUAACUUCGG
rnacentral:rRNA from 1 species